UAGGGAAUCUUCGGCAAUGGGGGGAACCCUGACCGAGCAACGCCGCGUGAGUGAAGAAGGUUUUCGGAUCGUAAAGCUCUGUUGUUAAGGAAGAACGAGUGUGAGAAUGGAAAGUUCAUGCUGUGACGGUACUUAACCAGAAAGGGACGGCUAACUACGUGCCAGCAGCCGCGGUAAUACGUAGGUCCCGAGCGUUGUCCGGAUUUAUUGGGCGUAAAGCGAGCGCAGGCGGUUAGAAAAGUCUGAAGUGAAAGGCAGUGGCUCAACCAUUGUAGGCUUUGGAAACUGUUUAACUUGAGCGCAGAAGGGGAGAGUGGAAUUCCAUGUGUAGCGGUGAAAUGCGUAGAUAUAUGGAGGAACACCGGUGGCGAAAGCGGCUCUCUGGUCUGUAACUGACGCUGAGGCUCGAAAGCGUGGGGAGCGAACAGG
rnacentral:rRNA from 2 species